rnacentral:rRNA from 1 species
CGAAGGUGGCAAGCGUUGUUCGGAUUUACUGGGCGUACGGGGAGCGUAGGCGGUUCGGUAAGCCCUUUGUGAAAUCUCCAGGCUUAACCUGGAACAGUCGGAGGGGACUGCCGGGCUAGAGGGCGGGAGAGGAGCGCGGAAUUCCCGGUGUAGCGGUGAAAUGCGUAGAGAUCGGGAGGAAGGCCGGUGGCGAAGGCGGCGCUCUGGAACGUUUCUGACGCUGAGGCUCGAAAGCGUGGGGAGCAAACAGGAUUAGAUACCCUGGUAGUCCACGCCUUAAACUAUGAAUACUAAGUGUCGGCGGGUUACCGCCGGUGCCGCAGCUAACGCAUUAAGUAUUCCGCCUGGGAAGUACGGCCGCAAGGUUG